GAUGGAUCCGAUUACAGACAGAUUAUUAGAUGAUAUAAUGGGCAUGUUAUUCCAAGAUGAUUUGCUGGGAAACAUACAGUUUGCAAUGGCAGUCGAAGACGCAAAUCGGGCUAUUCAAGAACAAAAUUCGAUUGAAGAAAACCAAAGCGAAGGAAGAAAUGUGCCAAUUGAGG